GACGAACGCUGGCGGCGUGCUUAACACAUGCAAGUCGAACGGUAAGGCCCUUCGGGGUACACGAGUGGCGAACGGGUGAGUAACACGUGGGUGAUCUGCCCUGCACUUCGGGAUAAGCCUGGGAAACUGGGUCUAAUACCGGAUAGGACUCCGGACUGCAUGGUCUGGGGUGGAAAGCUUUUGCGGUGUGGGAUGGGCCCGCGGCCUAUCAGCUUGUUGGUGGGGUGAUGGCCUACCAAGGCGACGACGGGUAGCCGGCCUGAGAGGGUGACCGGCCGCACUGGGACUGAGAUACGGCCCAGACUGCUACGGGAGGCAGCAGUGGGGAAUAUUGCACAAUGGGCGCAAGCCUGAUGCAGCGACGCCGCGUGAGGGAUGACGGCCUUCGGGUUGUAAACCUCUUUCAGCAUCGACGAAGCGAAAGUGACGGUAGGUGCAGAAGAAGGACCGGCCAACUACGUGCCAGCCGCCGCGGUAACAC
rnacentral:rRNA from 1 species